rnacentral:rRNA from 1 species
GGGGAAUAUUGCACAAUGGGGGAAACCCUGAUGCAGCGACGCCGCGUGGAGGAAGAAGGUCUUCGGAUUGUAAACUCCUGUUGUUGAGGAAGAUAAUGACGGUACUCAACAAGGAAGUGACGGCUAACUACGUGCCAGCAGCCGCGGUAAAACGUAGGUCACAAGCGUUGUCCGGAAUUACUGGGUGUAAAGGGAGCGCAGGCGGGAAGACAAGUUGGAAGUGAAAUCUAUGGGCUCAACCCAUAAACUGCUUUCAAAACUGUUUUUCUUGAGUAGUGCAGAGGUAGGCGGAAUUCCCGGUGUAGCGGUGGAAUGCGUAGAUAUCGGGAGGAACACCAGUGGCGAAGGCGGCCUACUGGGCACCAACUGACGCUGAGGCUCGAAAGUGUGGGUAGCAAACAGGAUUAGAUACCCUGGUAGUCCACACCGUAAACGAUGAUUACUAGGUGUUGGAGGAUUGACCCCUUCAGUGCCGCAGUUAACACAAUAAGUAAUCCACCUGGGGAGUACGACCGCAAGGUUGAAACUCAAAGGAAUUGACGGGGGCCCGCACAAGCAGUGGAGUAUGUGGUUUAAUUCGACGCAACGCGAAGAACCUUACCAAGUCUUGACAUCCCUUGACGAUACUGGAAACAGUAUUUCUCUUCGGAGCAAGGAGACAGGUGGUGCAUGGUUGUCGUCAGCUCGUGUCGUGAGAUGUUGGGUUAAGUCCCGCAACGAGCGCAACCCUUAUGGUCAGUUACUACGCAAGAGGACUCUGGCCAGACUGCCGUUGACAAAACGGAGGAAGGUGGGGAUGACGUCAAAUCAUCAUGCCCUUUAUGACUUGGGCUACACACGUACUACAAUGGCGUUAAACAAAGAGAAGCAAGACCGCGAGGUGGAGCAAAACUCAGAAACAACGUCCCAGUUCGGACUGCAGGCUGCAACUCGCCUGCACGAAGUCGGAAUUGCUAGUAAUCGUGGAUCAGCAUGCCACGGUGAAUACGUUCCCG